AGUAACGGCGAGUGAAGCGGCAACAGCUCAAAUUUGAAAUCUGGCUCUCGGGCCCGAGUUGUAAUUUGUAGAGGAUGCUUUUGAUGCGGUGCCUUCCGAGUUCCCUGGAACGGGACGCCAUAGAGGGUGAGAGCCCCGUCUGGUUGGAUGCCAUAUCUCUGUAAAGCACCACCAACGAGUCGAGUUGUUUGGGA
rnacentral:rRNA from 1 species